AAUACAUGAUGUAGGCAUUUUGUAAGCAUUUACUUAAAUCUUUCCUAACUCUCAUAAAUAGAUUCCCCUUUAUAUUGAGUAAAAUAAGUUAUAUCUUUUCUAAAUUU